rnacentral:misc_RNA from 1 species
GAUGAAGAACGUAGCGAAAUGCGAUAAGUAAUGUGAAUUGCAGAAUUCAGUGAAUCAUCGAAUCUUUGAACGCACAUUGCGCCCGCCAGUAUUCUGGCGGGCAUGCCUGUCCGAGCGUCAUUUCAACCCUCGAACCCCUCCGGGGGGUCGGCGUUGGGGAUCGGCACUUACCUGCCGGCCCCGAAAUACAGUGGCGGUCUCGCCGCAGCCUCUCCUGCGCAGUAGUUUGCACACUCGCACCGGGAGCGCGGCGCGUCCACGGCCGUAAAACAACCCAAACUUCUGAAAUGUUGACCUCGGAUCAGGUAGGAAUACCCGCUGAACUUAAGCAUAUCAAUAAGCGGAGGA